GUUUGUGUGACUACGGUGUUUUGAUGUAUUAAUUCACCUUAACGGACCGGAGCCCUGGGACAGGCAACUGAGAUGAACCUGGUGAAUGUGACCUUUCUAUCCUUGAGCCGCUCGGUGCUGCAGUGUGACCCCCAAGACCCGCGGGAGCUCUGCAAGCUAAUGCAUUUUUCCGACAGUCGGAUAGUCAGGAUAUGAUUUCUUAUUUCAGUGUGCAUUGCUGCUGGUAUGAAUAGCAACAUAUUCACAGAAAGAGCAGGCAUCUCAUUUUUCUGUCUGUGCAUCCUAGUUUCUACAUUUAAUGUCUGGGAAGAGCAGCUCCUCAUUUCCCCUGAGCAGAGACUGAGUGCAUGCAGAGGAGGAGUGGGAGGCGAGAGGAGGCGAGCAGCGGAGGCCUUAGCAGGGCUAUUUUUAUGAGGCACAUAAUAAAGAUAUGGAGAUGAAGCAUCUAUAUGCUACCUGAGGACCUUCUCUCUGCUCCCAGUCUGGCCCGACAACCUCUUCUCUUGUUUCUGCUCUCCAGCUCCCGUGGAGGAUAGAGAGAACAGGCUGAGAUGAAUGAGAGUAAUAACCCUACUGUCAGGAGAGAGAGAGAGGAAUGGGGAGGGUCAUGAUGGUGUAAACACCACAGCGAAAGCUUGCAGGCUGGCAGGAAUAUCAUGUUUCCUCACGAUGGAGCUUCAAGAAUCAUCACAGCUUUGUGUUACACACAGAAGUCUCUCAAACUCACAUGACAGCGAGGUUCAGCAGUGGGUUUGUAGUAUAAAUAGACUCUGCCUGCUAAUGUGAUGUGAUGUAUUAAAUAUACUCCAGGGUGCCACGAAAAUAAACAAAGGACAGGACAGAACUGGGAGACAUUAUCUGAACUAUACAGGUAGAGUAAUAUCGUUAAAGGAAAAUUAUUUGCAACUUCCUCGGAAACAGUGAAUCUUCUACUGGUAAAGUCAUCUGCAGAUGUGAUAGUAUAACUCCCAAACUGUCCUUUUUACACCUUGUUUUUGUACAGAUUAAAUCAUAAUAGGUAAUUAAAUAUAGGAUAAUAAGUGUUAAUAAGUGAGUUUUAGAGUCGCUGGUUGGGAGAUUUUCUUACUGAGCCAGGAUAGCUGUUUUCAGUCUUUAUGCUAAGCUAAGCUAACUUACUGCUGGCUCCAGCAUAAUUUUUACCAUACAGACACAUGAAAGUGGUAUUGCUCUUCUCAUCUCUCUCAUUUCUGGCAAGAAAAGCAAAACUUGCUGUUCCUUUAAGAAAGUAAAGAGUCAUUUUUUAAAUAUAAAGUAGUGAUGUUAAUAAAAGAUAUCAGCACAGACAUGAGAAACAAGAGAUUUUUGGAAGACUGGGGUACAUUUUAUGUGUAAAUAUUUCAAAGAAAAGCGAAAACAGAAACUUUUUUGUUAAAAACAUUUUAUUAAAAGUAUCAGAGCAUAACUAUUAAUAUUACAAAUAUUUGUAAGAGAGUAAGGUCCUGAGGAUUAUACAAGGGAACUUUUCCCAUUGAAAAUGAAACCUGAAGAUUUAAUCUGAAAGUGUAUACAACUUUUUCGGUUGAACAGUAAAACAGAUGGACUGUCUUCACAUGUGUCUUUAAUGAUUAAAAUUAAAAAUUCUCAAAUAAUUAGAGAGCUCAUCAACAGCCCUCAAGUAAAGUGAGAAACACAAACUACAUUAAUGAAGUCAUCCUCUUGUGCAUCAUUUACAGUCAUAUUCAGCAGGAUUAUGAAUUGGUACACAUUUUCUGAGGUGCCAUGAUCAUCAGCAACCAACAUAUAUCUGUUUGCACCAACAUUUUAUUGAAGGCAAACUGAAUGAAGCUCACACUGAGUUAAUAUUCAAACAUAUUACUGUAUUUUUAGAGUUGUUUUAUUCCCUCAGUCGGAAAUAUACUAAAUGUCUUGUGCAUCAUUUGAGACACAUUUUGCCAACAUUCAUGAUUCAUACGAGAUGUAUUUGGUAUGUUUGGAAACUUUAAUUAUAACAGUUGAAGGAAUAUGAAACCACCAGUGUGUCUGAAAGAGAGUAAGUGGUUUAAUCUGAACUAAAUGAGGUAUUAACAUGAUUUUAUGAAAAUAAACCAGUAAAAUAUGCUUUUGAAAUGUUAUCCUUCUACCUUGUCAAAUUCCUCUUCAUCAUUAUCCGCUGUCCGUCCACUCUUGCACCACCUGGCACGGAGUUAUGAAUUAAUUUUUUACUGUAACGUGACUUUUCAUGAUUCAUCGGUGGCUUUGGCGAAACUGUGGCAUUGCGCCACCUGUC
rnacentral:lncRNA from 15 species